GGCUCCUGAAAAUGUCUGCCACUUCCAUGGGCGAGCUUUGCACCUUUGUCUAAGGUGACACAUUUGUUUCCUUGCAAAGCACCUGGCUGACCAGUAGGCAGGCCCAUCUCACAGCUGCCGCUCUGCCAGCCUCAGCAACUUCAGUGCAGCUUCAGCAGUGAGGUGGGGCAGGGCUGAGCUCUAGUAGGUCUGAGGCUCUGGGCUGCUUUCUUUUUCUUUUUUUCACACCCAUCAUGUUCUGCUGCAGCCUGCAGGGCAAGUACUGGGUUCAGUUGCAGCUGGGGUGGGCAAGGCACCAGCAGGCUACUGGCAAAGUCAAGGCACGUCCCACCCAGCAGCAAAAAGAAGCAAGCGCAAGACCAGCCAUUACUAAUCAGGAAACCUAUCACUGCACAAAGGACUAGUUCCAUGCCUUUUGAUGCCUCUCAUCUCUUUAACACGUCACGGAUUCUUGACCGGACGAAAGGCAGUGUGUCAUCCCCAUCCUCCACUCCCAUCACUGCUGCCUGCAGCCAUGCAACCUAAUUGUCUGGGCUGGGUCUGGUUGCUUUCCCAAGACCUCACAGUGCCAGGAUGCCUCCUUGCCUGGUUGGAAGCAGAACGCAAGUCUGCACUCGCUCUCUUCCAACUCAUGUACGCUGCCUCGCUUGCAGUAUGUCCCACAGGAUAGGAGAUCUCAUGUGGGACAUUUCAAACUGUUCUGGGCGACCUCAGGACCAACUCACGGAACAGCCGGCUGAACGAUUUCUGCCUUCUUUAAAAGAUUGGUCUCAAGGCUGAGCUGAGGUUCUGUUUGCUUGUCCUCCAAGAUAGGCAAGAUCAAGAAACAGGCAUGGAAGGGAUUCUAGAAUGCUCUUCAG
rnacentral:lncRNA from 1 species